CCCACCUGAUCCCAUGCCGAACUCAGAAGUGAAACGCCGUAGCGCCGAUGGUAGUGUGGGGUCUCCCCAUGUGAGAGUAGGGAACUGCCAAGC
rnacentral:rRNA from 1 species